rnacentral:rRNA from 1 species
CCUACGGGUGGCUGCAGUGGGGAAUAUUGCACAAUGGGCGCAAGCCUGAUGCAGCCAUGCCGCGUGUGUGAAGAAGGCCUUCGGGUUGUAAAGCACUUUCAGCGGGGAGGAAGGCGGUGAGGUUAAUAACCUCAUCGAUUGACGUUACCCGCAGAAGAAGCACCGACUAACUCCGUGCCAGCAGCCGCGGUAAUACGGAGGGUGCAAGCGUUAAUCGGAAUUACUGGGCGUAAAGCGCACGCAGGCGGUCUGUCAAGUCGGAUGUGAAAUCCCCGGGCUCAACCUGGGAACUGCAUUCGAAACUGGCAGGCUAGAGUCUUGUAGAGGGGGGUAGAAUUCCAGGUGUAGCGGUGAAAUGCGUAGAGAUCUGGAGGAAUACCGGUGGCGAAGGCGGCCCCCUGGACAAAGACUGACGCUCAGGUGCGAAAGCGUGGGGAGCAAACAGGAUUAGAUACCCCAGUAGUC